rnacentral:rRNA from 1 species
AUGCUACAACUGGCAUCUUAUUUUGCUGGAACCGGCAUAGCACCAUGCUACAACCGACGUCUCAUUUUGCUACAAUGCACUGCCGGCAUCGCAUUUUUGCUACAUCCGCAUUGCAUUUUUGCUACAACCGGCGUCCCUUUUUGCUACAAUCGAUGGCAGUGUAGUUUUGUUGUCGGACGACGGCAAAUGCCUGCAACUGGAGUCCAUGAAGCUGCAACCCUGCAACUCAUCCGAGAAAAAGCUACGACCAACAAUGAAAAAGCUACCACUGGCGGACUGAUAUGCUACAACCAACGGGCGAUGAACUUGUAG